rnacentral:rRNA from 1 species
GCUUACGGCCACACCGCCUGGUUCACCCGGAUCUCGGAAGCUAACAUAGGUUGGGCCUGGUUAGUACUUGGAUGGGAGACCGCCUGGGAAUACCAGGUGCUGUAAGCU